CCUACGGGUGGCAGCAGUGAGGAAUAUUGGUCAAUGGACGAGAGUCUGAACCAGCCAAGUAGCGUGAAGGAAGACUGCCCUACGGGUUGUAAACUUCUUUUGUCUGGGAGUAAACUGUUCCACGUGUGGGUUUUUGUAUGUACCUGAUGAAUAAGCAUCGGCUAACUCCGUGCCAGCAGCCGCGGUAAUACGGAGGAUCCGAGCGUUAUCCGGAUUUAUUGGGUUUAAAGGGAGCGCAGGUGGAUGGUCAAGUCAGUUGGGAAAAUUGCGGGCUCAACCGUAGAAUGGCAAUUGAUACUGGCAGUCUUGAGUACAGUAGAGGUAGGCGGAAUUCGUGGUGUAGCGGUGAAAUGCUUAGAUAUCACGAAGAACUCCGAUUGCGAAGGCAGCUUACUAAACUGCCACUGACAUUGAUGCUCGAAAGUGUGGGUAUCAAACAGGAUUAGAUACCCGUGUAGUC
rnacentral:rRNA from 1 species